UUUUUUUUUUUUUUUGAAAGUGAUAGACAUGGAUAAAAAGAUAUACUACUAUUAUCAAUUGGUGGCCUAAGUUUAAUUUUUAGUAAGGUAUACAUACACUUUGAGUGCUUUUGAUAUAAUUGAAGUAUGAAAUCUGAAAUCUAAAACAUGAAUUGUUAAGUUGCUGAAUUGUUAAGUACUGAAAUUUUACAUUUGAGUAUAUCUUACGUUAAGUGAUAAGUGAAUAAUUUAUCACUUAUUGUUUUGAGUAAGUUUUGUCUAAAUAAUUCAGAGUCACGCAAUUAAGAAAGACGUUUUAUUUUUCUAUUAUUAAACACGUCUAAAAAUAUUAAGAUUUGAAUCUAUUAAAUUUAAAUGGUGAAUUGGGUUAUCAAAGACGCCCUUUGUUCUGUUCCAAGAUUUUUUUAGAUAACUGGAAUCCAGUCAAGAGUUUAUGGACUUUCUUUUGAUUGAAUACUGUGACAUGUUCAAGAGUCAUAAUUUUUAAUACAACCAUAAUAAGUUAACAAGUGUUAUGAUAUCUAAUUACUUUUGUGUCGUUUUAAUUUUAUUGUGUAAUGAGAUUCAUGCACACAUAUCUAUUGAAAUAUUCCUCUUCAAUUUGUUAGAUGGAUGCAGAAGAAUUGUGAUUUACAAGUAAAUUUUUUCCCCAAAUGAUGGAUAGUACUCUUAUUAUGGACAUGGACAUAUCCUUUUGUCAACAACAGUUAACACACACAUAGGAUUCUUGCAAUCAAAGGUAACAAAACUUUGUGAUUUUGACCUCGCAAAUCUCCAAUCACAAAUGAAUGGGAUUCUUGCAAUCAAUUCACCUAGGAUUCUUGCAACUCUGCAAUUACAGCUAAGAGUGAGAUAAAUUUGCAAACUAGAUGGCAAAACUUCCGCUGACUUUUCACGUUUGCCAUGUUUUAGCAGGGAUUGGAAAUUGAUGGGAUCUGUGGACCCUUUCCAUGUAGGAUAAGCAAACGUGGGGUCAUGCUGAUCCACCGUUCAGCCGACUUUAGUCGGCUAAUCUCCAUGAAAACUCAUCCAUUUCUGCUCAGACAAAUCUCAUUAGAUCAAAAAAGGUGUUCUGACAAUUCAUUUAGAUUUUUUUUUUAUUAUAGGUGGAGUUCGAAUCUCCCAUUUACGGUUCAAAAAGGGACUCUUUGAAUAGCCAUUGAUGCAAAGCUUAGUGGUUAGCAUCAGCUCUCCUAAUGGGGGCUGUUCCUAUGGAGUGGUGGAGACAGAUCAAUCAAUCUUAUUAAUUCACCAAAAUCAUCUUGAAUGGCAGGAAGCAGUCAAAGAAAAGAGCCCUGAUCAAACGGAGGUUCUACCUGAAUUAAUAUCAAAUGUUUAUGCGUUAAAAGACGGAGAAAUUAGUUGUUUUUAGUCGGUAAUUGUGACAUGAGAAAUUCUAGAUUAAUGCUACUUGAAGAACGUCUAGAGGGAAUCAUGCCAUGACCACCCUUCUGUCACGUUGUCAUCCAGCAAUUCAUUUGAUGACAAAGCAAUCAUUCUAAUAAUCAAGUACGAAUUCAUGGCUUUUGAUUUUAAAUAAUACAACAAUAAAAAAGGAGAAUGAGACUUUUACUUUGAUUUAUGUUUUUGGCGAUGAAAAAUUAAUUGAGACGUCUUACUUACUAAUUAUAGUCGCAUGCAUCAAAUGUUAACCUAGUACUAUUAUUCAGCAGUUGUGAUCUAAGUUUCGUAACUUUUUCAAUUUGUAUGAGAGGGAUUAUACUCAAAAUCGUGUCCACUAACAUUGUGUAGUAACUAUCGACUAGGUUUUCAAUUUAUAGUGACUUUAGUAUUUCGAAUCAAGAUUUAGUUGUAAAUAUUAAGAGUCGAUACUAAAAAUGCGAAUAUAAACAAUGAAUUUAGAACGGGAGAAGCCGAAGACACUGAAUAUUGGGGAAAAAUGAUUUUCAAUUUAAUAUUUUAUAACAAGGAAAAAGAAAAAUAAUAAAAUUUUAUAAAAUAUACAUCACAUUUUUUAGUGUUACUAAACGUUUUAAACAAAAGAAAAGAUUAGAUGAUUUUUUCAUUGAUGUUAAAAUGGAAAACAGGAAAACCAUCGAAAUAGUCAACAAUCUUCUUUAGCCGAGCCCGUCGUCAUAAAUGUAUAUUAAUGGUUUGAACCAGAAUUGGAACCUUUGAUUAUGGUAUUGGUCCUUUUUUUUUUUUUGGAACUAAACCUUUACUUAGAGUUAGCUUAGUCAAGUAAUUUCUUUUUGAAAAAAAAAAAAACUUUUGAAAAGCAAGGACUUGGGAUUUGGGAAGGUGGAAAUAGGAAUGUGAAAUCCCACCCCCUAAAAAAAAAAAAGAAAAGAAAAGAGGAAGAGAAGUUAGAAAGAAAAAAAAACGAAGGCAAGGAACAUUCCAUAGAGCAAACCGUGAUCAAUUGGAACAGUUAAUAACGGAAAAAGAUUCUCUAUUUGGAUUGACCUAUUUUUCAAAAACUAAUUUUUCAAAUACAAUAUUUCAAUAAUGUACAAACAAAAAAAUAACUCAAAAAAUAUAUGAUUCAUACAAUAUAUCAAAAACAACUCACAAAUAUACACAAAAAAUUAAAAAAAAAAUAAAUUUUACAACAUUUUUCACCUAUCACCAUCACCAACCACCCACUAUCACCACCACUCCCUCCCUCCUCCUUUCUCCCCUCUUCCCCUUCCCUCUUCCUCCUCCCCACCCCCAGAUUGAGGCCUCUAGUCAUGACCAGUUCGUGACCGAAAGGUCACAACUUUUUGGUCAUGAUCUGGAGACCAAAGGCCUCUAUCUUGUCGAGACUAGAUCAAGAUCGAGAGGGAGAGGAGGGGCCGACGGGUGAGGUGAAGGGAAGAGGAGGAGGAAGAGAAAAGGGGAGGAGGAAAAUGAAGAAGGUAGUGGCGGUGGUGGGUGGGUAGAGAUAGUGGCUGUGGUGGUUGUGGGUAGUAGUAUUAAUUUUUAAAAAUAUGAUAAAAAUAUUUUAUUUUUAAAAGUUACUCCAAAAUAUAUUUCAAAAACCCUUCAAAAAAAUUACAAAAAUUACAGUAAAAGUUUUUUAUAUACAUUUCUAUAAUAAAAUAUUUCAAAAACACCCCAAAAAAUAGUUAAUCCAAACGGAGCCAACCGACAGUGAUAGAUUUGUAGUUUAUUAUGAAGAUAAACGAUUGUAAUUAAAAAACAAAGAUAAACGAUUGUUCCGCACUUCUUUUUUUCUUUAUUAUUAUUAUGUUGGAAGACUUGGUUUAAGAAUAAUGAGGUGUGUAUAUUUAGAGAAAUAACUAAACUUUUCUAUUGUGUAACGCCACUUUGGAAACUCUGAAAACAAUAUCAUAAUAAACUUUUUUCUUUAAUUCGAUUUUUUGUAUUUUAAAGUUUUUUUUCUUCUUCAAAGAUUUUAAACUUGCACCGACAACAAGGACAUGUCUAAAUGAUUUACAUCCAUUUCAAACAAGAAUUAGAGGAUACACGAUCGUGCGCACAGACUAUAUAUAUAUGUGUGUGUGUGUGUGUGUGCACUUAAUUAAAUUACCUAUUUUUUCUCUUAUAUUGGCAUACCUAAUUAAGAAAAGAUAAAAUUAAUGGGUCAUUUGAAUGCUUGGUUUUUACCCAUAUUUGUAUUGAACUCUUUUCAAGUUUAGUUUUUCUUACACUUUCUCUCUUAUGGUUCUCCUCGCUUCUAAUACUAUUAUCUUUUUGUUAAAUAGGUAUAAUUUUUUGUCAAUAUGGAUUAACUUUACCUAGUGUCAAGAAAAAUUUAUUUAUUGUGACUUGAACUGCUACGCUAAAUAAUUAAUUUUAUUGAUCAAAAUUGAUUAUUUGUUCAUGAGAAAAUGAAUUGUCAAAUUUUUUAUAUUUAAUUGAGUUCAAAUAUGUAGUUCUAGGUUUAUGGUCAUUAUAAAAAUUCUAAUUAUCUCAAAGAAUAUCUAUUUGAUUUGUCAGCAUGCAUUGUAGUAUUUGUUGAAUAUGAUAUUUUCUACAUUUAAUAUCACUGAAAUGUAGGAAUUUUGUCAAUGACAUUCAUACUUGUACAAAUUCACAAGUAAUAAAAAAAAGUGCUAAGGUGUAGGCUAAAUUCUAGUACUGUAGUCAACAUAUACUAACAAAAUCAUCAAUUAAAGAAUAGCACUAAUUCUUUUAUCUCUGUCUGUCUAUGUAGAUGUAGCAGGAAAAAAAAGCACAUUACUGGAGUUUGUCAUUAAAUCAAAUGUUUUCAAAAACAUAAUUUCAUGUAGGGAAGAAAUAAGUAGGUAAGUUUAGGAAAGAGUUGAAUUGGAUGGUAAGAUGAAAGAGAUUGUAAAUAGGACGUUUUGGAUUCAAAACCUUGACUUAUCAAAAAAAAAAAAAAGCUAACAAAAUGUAGGCGAGUCGACAAAUAAUCUAGGGUCCUGGCAAUGAAACGUCUAUUAGCUGACAUUUUCAUACUUGGACAAGGCAUAUAAAUUAGUAAGCUGCUCAGGCUUGAUAUAUAUAUAGGCAAUAAUAUAAACAUGAAUUUACACGUAUUAACAUAGUGAAUUAAUUUUUUUACACAAGUUCUUACGGGAAAGUAUAAAAGACAACUGUAAAGAAACACAACUCGAUAAAAUUGUUCGAGUUGUCUCUUCAAUUAUCAUGUCAACCACUACAUGGGGCAUUUGGUUGGCUUUUAUUCAUUAAACUGCAACUUGUAUUGAAAACGUGGUGAGAGAGUCGUCACAUGUUUCAAAAAAUGAAAAAAAAUCAGCAAAUAGAAGAAAUAGCAAUCGGUCUGGUUAAGUGAAAACGUGAUCCACAUUCGAUUUGAAUUUUUACCAUGAGAAGGAAAAUCAGUAACUUGUUCCCUUUUCUCCAUUGCAGAUUAUCACUACUCUAUAAAUACUUCAGGGUUUUUUACAAGUAACGCAACAAGAAACCGAGCAGUUUUUGCAUAACUUCUGAUGAUGUCGGGCAUGAGGGUUUUGAUCUUACAAGUUGUCGUCUUUCUUCUUUUGGGUGGUCUUUUACCUACCCAAGCUUUGAUCCAUAGAUAUAAGUUCGUGGUAAGUAUAAACUUAUUCUGUUUUAUUAGGAAGGUUACAAAUUACAUAUAAUGGCAUCCGAGGUAUCUUGAAUAUCCUUUGACUAGCCACCUAACCAGAAGUUUAUCUUUUCUUCUUUUCAUUUUUAUUUUUUUAACUUUUAAAAUUUUACUCUCUUACCCUUCUUUAAAAUAGCUUCCAGAGUUGCUACAUUAGUCCCAACUCCCAGUAAAAAGAUCACUAAUGAAGUUUGGCUUGCAUUUUCAGCUUUUGUAAUAUUAUCUUGCUUUGUAUACACAGGUAAAAGAAGCUCCAUAUACAAAACUAUGCAGCACCAAGAACAUUUUGACAGUAAAUGGUCAAUUUCCUGGACCAACUCUACGCCUUCGUCAAGGAGAUACAGCCUUUGUUCAUGUACACAACAAGGGAAAAGAAAGCAUCACCAUUCACUGGUAUGAUAAUUUUCUUCAUCUUUUCUUGGUCUCAAUAUUACGUGUUCUAAGAGAAGAUAAAGAGCUUAACUUUCUUUCCAGGCAUGGAGUAAAGCAGCCAAGAUUUCCAUGGUCAGAUGGUCCAGAGUAUAUUACGCAGUGCCCUAUGAGGCCAGGAACAAAUUUCACCCAAAAGAUUGUGCUGUCUGAUGAGAUUGGAACGUUGUGGUGGCAUGCUCACAGUGACUGGUCUCGAGCAACAGUUCAUGGUUUACUUGUUGUUUAUCCAAAGAAAGGGACUAGUUACCCAUUGGGGUUUCCAAAGCUUCAAGCAGAAGUGCCCAUGAUUUUAGGUAUAAUGGAAUUCAAAUCAUCUGCUGAGCGCUAAUAUUGAACUGGUCAAUAUAUGUGUGAUUGCCAAUCUUAAGCUGCCUCCUUUGCAAAAAAGUUAAAACAAGAAAAGGAAAGAUUCACCCAUUUAUAUGUUGAAAAACCUGUUAUUUUAACUCUGACUUAGUGCCAGUUUUACAUAAAGGAUCACUACAUUACUAGCGACAUUUUGAAAUUGCAUCUGUGAUUUGAAACUCGACAGAAUAGUGACUCGACCAAGCUCAAGAAUUGGAGCUCUUUCGAUCAUUUUGGCCAAGACCAAAAAACUAGAGAAUUGAAUGACCUCAUAGAAUUGAAUGAGCUCUUUCGACUAAACCAGAAAGUCAGAUCUGAGUUUCAAAACAUUGUAUGGAACGCUGUAAUGCACACCAUUGACUUCCAUAUAGGACAAAAUAAUUUGUUCAUGUAUUCAAGAAAUGGACACCUAAUUAUCUAAAGUGUUGAGAAUGGUGCAGGAGAAUGGUGGAAAAGUGAUAUACAGGAGGUUCUUAGCGAGUUUUCAAGCAGCGGGGGAGAACCAAAUGUCUCUGAUGCUUUCCUAAUAAACGGUCAACCUGGUCUUCUGUAUCCAUGCUCAAGACAAGGUAAACAAGAAUGGAAAUUGAACUCCUUUUCUCCCAUCUUCUUAUUGAAUUUCAUAAGAUCGAUCACAUUCUAUAGUAGCAUGACAUAUUUAUCCAAAUUCUACACUUGUAGUGAGAUAUAAUGUACAUAAUCUUUACUUGCAGACAGUUACAAGUUGACUGUGGAUUAUGGCAAGACUUACUUACUUCGAAUGGUUAAUGCUGCCAUGAACAACAUUCUUUUCUUUUCCGUAGCAAAGCAUCGGAUUACUGUUGUGGGAUCAGACGGAAGCUACACAAAGCCUUUAAAUAGUGGUUACAUUGCAAUAUCCCCCGGCCAAACCAUUGAUUUCCUGCUACAUGCCAAUCAAUCACCUAAUCUCUACUACAUGGCUGCUAAAGCUUAUAAUAGUGCCAGCUCUGUUACAUUCGACAACACAACCACCACAGCCAUUCUCGAAUACCGUGGAAAUUAUACUCCACCUUCAUCUCCAUCUUUCCCAAAUCUUCCGACUUUUAAUGAUACAAUUGCAUCAGCUAAUUUCACAGGGAGCCUUAGAAGCUUAGCGAGUAAAGAAUUCCCUGUUGAUGUCCCAAAAAAUGUUACCACUAAUCUUUUCUUUACACUCUCCAUAAAGUCACUUCCUUGUGAAACAAAUAACACCUGCAAGGGACCUCGAGGCAAUCGAUUCGCGGCAAGUGUAAAUAACAUGAGCUUUGUCAGCCCGAAGAUUGACAUACUUCAGGCUUACUAUAAUCAGAUCAAUGGAGUGUAUAAACCUAAUUUUCCUAGCUUCCCACCUUUGGUAUUCAAUUACACUGCAAGUAACAUUUCGGUUUCCCUACAAACGCCUACUCGAACAACCAAAGUGAAGGUUCUUGAGUAUAACUCGCAUGUGGAGCUUGUUUACCAAGCCACUAAUUUGGUAGCAGGAGUUGAUCAUCCCAUGCAUUUACAUGGACAUAGUUUUUAUGUUGUUGGAUGGGGAUUUGGAACCUUUGACAAGGACAAAGACCCUAAGAACUAUAACCUUGAGGACCCUCCUUUGAUGAAUACAAUUGCAGUUCCGAAGAAUGCCUGGACAGCCAUAAGAUUCAAGGCAAAUAACCCUGGUAAGCGUUAUAUUUAUUAUUAUUUUUUAUCAAGGAUAUUAGUUCUCAGUAAAACUUUGCAAAAAAAAAAAAUCAAACGCCUGCUUACCCCAUUUUUAUACCUAGCUACAGUCAUCACAAUGAAAGCAUGAGUUAGCGAGAUAUCAAUGUGUCCAUCUAGUUCUGAGUUUUUUUAAUUUCUGAUAUGUAUUCUGUUGAUCAUAUCGUUUUUUUAAAUUAACUUCGCUCAGGUCUCUGUAAAAUUAUGCAAAGCUGGUAUUUCUUGGGUGAUAAAUUCAUAAUCAUAGGAAUUUUCCACUCUUUUCAUUGUCAAAGAACAAUAAUUGAUGGAAAUCAAUUUUUGCACAGGCACACACUAUAUAUAUAUAUAUAUAUAUAUAUAUAUAUAUAUAUAUAUAUAUAUAUAUAUAUAUAUAUAUAUAUAUAUGUAAUAUGUAAUUGCAUCUCAUAAUUAAAAUUUGUGUACUUAUUGCAACUAUUAUAAUUGGAAAGGACAUACAAUCUCUUGCAGGAGUGUGGUUGAUGCAUUGCCAUCUUGAACGUCACAUAAGCUGGGGGAUGGAAAUGACCUUCAUUGUUAAAAAUGGAAAGCGUCCGCAGGAAAAAUUGCUGCCUCCACCUCCCGACAUGCCACUUUGCUAAUGUUGCUUAGACAAAGUAUUACAAGUCUUGGACUACUACGGUUUGCAGCGGCUCUAAAGUCAGCUUGUCAAUGAGGCACAAAAAUAAUGUAAACCUAGUUUCUUUCUUUAGUAUUUGCGAGUAAUCUUAAGUAGAUGGUGUGACUUCAGUCUCGUGAAUAAUAGUUUUUGGCACCUUCAAGAAUGAUACAAAAAAAAAAAGAAGAAAUAAAUCCAUGCAUCAAAUGUAGGAUGUAAUAUGUUACUAAAGAAAAAAAAAGGCUUAGUACGUUAUUUAAGUUCCUUUUUUUUGUUUAUGUUUGCUUACAUUUUGAAUGAAGUCAUGUUUACACUUGAUUGUGUAAUUCAUUGUGUUUCAAAUAGGGUGGUAAUUAUUAAUACAAAAGAACCUUCAGUUAUCUUUAGUUAUAUUUGUAUAAUGAUGACAAUAAGUAUAAAACAAAAAACUUCCUAACUAUCUACCCAGAGUUGCUAAAAAAAUAUUAAUAAAGUGAAAAUAUUAAUCUUGGUUCAGCAUUAAAACUUUAUUGCAAUUAUUGUGCUAAAUUCAUAUGAAAAUUUUUGGAUUCUACUCCAAUUUUAUUCUUGCAAAGAUUUCAAAUGAAAUUUUACUGAUUAUAUAAAGUUAUGGCAUUAUGAUGUGUUGAAGAAAAUUAUGAGAUUUUAAAAAUUACAAUAGUAGUCAUUCAAUAUUUUCAUAUUUUGCCUCCAUUUUGACUGCAGUAGUCUUAAUUCUCAUUCAAAGCGAAGUAGUAUAUAUAUUUUUUAUAUGUUAACAAUUAGACUUUUUGAUAUUAAGUGAAAAUCAGUCUAUUUAAAGUAUUAAUCUUUCCCACUAAAAUGGUAUUUUUUUGUCACUCUGUAAUAGAUGAUAAAUUGGUCAUUUCAUCAAUUACUUGGAUGAAAUUAAAUUUUGUAUUAUGUUUUAGUUGAUUGUGUACAGUGCCCAUUAAGAUACUUUAGGGUGUAAACGCAACUACUCUAAUAGUUCGUGGGACUUUUAUGCAAUUAACCCCAUAAUCUAAUCAAAUGAUACCCGAUCUUUUCAGAUUUUAUUCGGGCCGACUACGCACACGAUCUGACGUAUCUGGACUAACGGAUAGAAAGCUGGAAAUUGGACUUAAUUCGCAUCCCUGCGCUAACUCAAAACCCAAUUCUACCCACAACCGUGACAAUGAGCCCAACUACAGAGUCUCAAAAUCCAAUACCAAUAAGCCCAAGAUUUGCACUAAUUUGAUGUAUCCAGCCUCAAUCAGCAAAGAAAGUUCCACAGCCAAGAGAAUGAAAUAUAUUACGAAUGGGUUGAUUUUUAAAAAUAAUUUUUUAGAUUCAUGUUAAUGCGUGAUGUUGAUGAAGUGAAAAAGAAAAGUACUUUUUCUUUAUCUAAAUCUUUUGUGUCCAGAAUGAAAUAUUCUCCUUUUUCAUGGAGAAAAGUUUGCACAGUAUCUGAAUUUUUUUUUCCUGAUGACACUUCCAUAUUAGUGGCGUUCAGCAAUAAUUGGUGAUUUAGAUUAUUAAGGAAAUGGAGAAAAAAAAUUUCCAAUUUGACGUUAAUGCUGUUUCUUUUGCUUGUUUAUAAGCCUAAUAGAAAAAAAAAAAAGUUUAUCAGGCGAACAUUUGUGCAAAGUUGCAACAAGUUUAGCACUUAUUUCUAGCCCCAGUGACAUACUUGUCUUAUUUUACAUAUAUGUUCGUGGACGAAAUGCAGCCUAAUUCGUAAGACAAUUUACCUAUACUUAAGAGAUCUUGAGUUUGAGCCAUCAAAAAGAUAAGUGAAGAACUACUAGGUCCACUACUGAUCCAUGGAUUCUUUCAAAAACAAAUAAGCAAAAAAAAAAAAAAAUGAUUUAAGGAACGUGGGGGAAUUUGCACGCAUAAUAAAAAUCUAGAUGCGAGCUGCAUCUGGACGGUCUUCACCUGCAUAACAAGAAUUCUAAUUAUUCUAUACUAUUGCAGCUUGCUUGCACAGAAAUUGCCUUGCAACUUGCUUGCCCGAACAAUUGCAUAGAAAUUGCCUAUAAAAGUGCAAUAUACGUAAUCACGGUCUUAAUGAUUUUGUCGGGCUGCUGACCUUUCGAUUAAAUUAGUGACAUUGCAAAUAUCUUGUGUUGUGUUAGUCCUCGGACUACUUAAUUACAACUCACUUUGGGCAAAUGUGGCGUGUGUUACUUCAUUUUUUGUUAGGUUCAUAAUCAGGAAAUUAUGUUCCACAUUGAUUUUAAAAGUGGAGAAAUUACGCUUAGUAUGUAAAUGAGGGUUCAAGACCUAACAAUUUAAACAUUUGGAUUAACGUUAAGUUCCUAACUUACGUAUUGGACCUCUUUAACAAGUGACUUAAUAUGUAAUUAAAAUGUAAGUAAGAGUUCGGAACCCAACAAGUUAAACUCUUGGCUCAAGAUAAUCUUUUGGACGAAUUUAACACUUAAGUAAGUAAGAAUUUGAAACCUAAUCAUUUAAACUUUUGAAUCAACGUUGGGAAUCUUUUGGACUAACACUGAAUUCCUAACUUGUAUAUUGCACCUCUUUUAGUGUUUCUUCCUAACAGUACUUUAGUUAUCUUUACGAAGCCAAGGCAAUGUUCUUGACUUACAGAUUGCACCUCUUUGAGUGUUUCAUCCUAACAAUUUUUGAGUUAUUUUUACGAAGCCAAGGUCGGAGAACGCAGACAAGAAGCUGUAAGGUCGGAGAAUGCAGACAAAAAGCUGUAAUUGAGAGAAUCAGUAGGUGAACCAAAAGACCAUACUACUGAAGCUCUCGUCCCAAAUAGAAUGAUUUUUAAGGGCGUCCCAUUUGCUGAGACUGUUACCGAUUUUUUGGUUGGAAAGUAGUCAAAAGCAUGCUUCUAGUCAAGCAGUUCACACAAAAAUUUCUCAGCAACUCGGUUUACAAUUUAAAAACUGAUCACAUGUUAUUUUCUAUAGUGUUGUUUCAAAAAAAAAAUGAAGAAUAAGAAGAAGAAGAAGAAAGAAAGAAAGUAUUGAACUCAUAUUGCUGUGGAACUGGAUUAGACCUUUUCCUCAUCUUUAGGUCCAACGAAUUUGUACAAUCUGAUUUAUACAUUUUUAUUACUAGUUUGUGCACCCCGGUGAAUAAAAAAGUUUAAGCUUCACCUUCUACCAAUUCAACGUUCUAAUUUGAACUCAGUUAUACUUUAAUCAGCAAUUUUUAUAUCUCAAGUUGAAAGCCAUUCAAAAGGAUGACAUGUAAUCAAAAUUGAAGGAAAUAAUUUUGACACGAAAGCAAUGGCGUGUCUAAGGUGUUUUGACCACAUUUUUCCUUCAUUACGAAAGAUUGAAAGAUUCAAGAUUGGGAGCAAAGAGAGUUGGAUUCAGUCCUGCUUAUCUGUUUAGUCAUACUGACCCAAAAUUGACAUGUAGUUAGAUUCAGGAUUUACCAUAUACUAGGAGAAUUAAUAUUGUACAAUGAGACACCAAUUUUAUAUACUACGAUAAAUUAGGAUGCACAGACGCAUGAGUUAUAGACAAAAUGUUCGCAUGUAUUCACGAGUCUUCAACUUCAUAUAUAUUAAAACCUCUUUAGCUGAAGACUAGAUUAUGCCGUCUUCAGUGGUGAUCCCCGAAUCUUUGUUGCUUAAUAUAAAAUGCAGUUGUCACUCUCUAAACUUAAAGCUUGUUAAAGCGAGUUUGUUUAAGCUAUUGAUUUGAACUUUGAGCUAUUUGAAAGUUUCCAUGCUUUUGGAGGCAGCUGAUAAAUUGAUUUUCAAAAGCAAGAGUUCAUCUUAAAUUUCGCCUCUACUACGAGGGAAAAUCUAAUGAAAUCUUCUGUGAUGAUGACAAUCGAAGUAACCACAACCAGGCGUGCAAGUUCCAGCUGGUUUAAACUUGCUUUUGGUAUAUAUAUAUAUAACGCACUUUACAAUCCCACUAGUAUUUGGCAAAAUUCCUCUUUGUCGACCAUUUUGCUUAAUUGGAAAAUGAUAUGAAAAUUCUAGCCUGUAUUUUAGAAGACAAACUACGAAAUUUUGGAGAAAAAAUAGCUCAUUUUGUCUGUGGUGGAGGAUCAUGGGCGUGAAUGUGUGUUAAGUUUUUCCCACAACAAUUGUAAAAGGGGCAAGAUGCUUGGUUAUAAGUAAAAGAAAAAGCCCCAUGCUUUGAGUUAGCUUUUGGGGUGAGAAGCACCCAACACUGAUAUCAAAAUCUGAUUAUAAUGCCUCCUUCCAAUAGACACUCAGAUGAAAUAUUGAUUUGUCCCUAUCCAGUACUCGUCGGAUGAUAGAUUGAUGAUAUGAUCAAACUUAAGGGCCCGAUGCGCGAGGGAAAAGCUAGCCUCAUCCCUUAAGCUAGUUUUUUCCAGUAAAGACUCGGAUAAAAUGUUGCUCAUCGGAUAAAAGAUUGAUGUGAUUCCAACCUAGUACUCGUCGGAUGAAAAGUUGGUGCUGUUCGAACCAAAGGCCCAAUGUAUAAGGGGGAGACUAUUGAGUUUAUCCCACUGGGAUGGGAAGGUCUAAUAGCACCCAACAUUGGUAUCAAAACCUAGUUAUGCCAACUCCCCCAAUAAACACUUAGAUGAAAUAUCGCUCGUUGGAUAAAAGGUUGAUGUUGUCCCAAUCUAGUACCUAUCUAAUGAAAGGUUGAUGCUAUUUCAACCUAGGACUUGAUGUGUGAGGGAAAAAUUAUUGAAUUUAUCCCACAUCAAUUGCAAAAGGAAUAGGAUGCUUAAUUAUCAAUGAGAGGAAAAACUUCACUCCUUGAACUAGUUUUUAGGGUAGGAAGGCCCAAUAGUACCUAACACUAGUAUCAAAGUCCAGUUACGAUGACUACCUCAGUCAACACUCUCGGAUCAGCCCAUGGAAAGAUUGUGAUAGGAUGGGAAGAUUGUUGAGCUUACCUUAUCGUCAGAUGAUAGGUUGAGAUAGGAUGUUUAGUUAUAAGUGUAAGAUACCUGUUGGAUGAUAGGUUGAUGAUCUGAUCCAAUCUAAGGUCCAAUAUAUGAGAGGGGAGAUUAUUGAGUUUAUCCAUAUAGCUAAGGUCCGAUGUAUGAGAGGGGAAAAUGUUGAAUUUUAUCUGAGGGGUGUGGCUUUUCCUUACACUACCACUUCGAUAGCUGAUAUACGAUAAAGUCAACAAUCUCCCCCUUAUAGCUUAACAAUCUCCCCCUUAUCCUACCUAAAGUCAACAGUCUUCCCCUUAUCCCAUCUACCCCUUCUAUAAUCGAUAUCGGAUAAAGUCAACUAUCUCUCUCUUAUCCCUCAACAAUCUCUCCCUUAUUUCACAUCGGUUAUGGAAAGGGUGAGACUUUUUUUCACACUUAUAACUAAGCACACAUUUCCCACAUCAAUCCCUCUCUCUUAUCCCACAUUGGUUAUGGAGGUGAGAGUUUCUCUCGCACUAAUAACCAAGUUCUCUUAUCCCUCAACAAUUCCCCCCUUAUUCGACAUCAGUUAUGAAAACUGUGAGACCUUCUCUCGCACUUAUAACCAAGCACCCUAAUCCCUCAACAAUCUUUCCCUCUCCUUGUCCCACAUUGGUUAUGAAAGGGAUGAGAUUUUCCUCACAUUAAUAACCAAGUUCAUGGAAUGAGUAAGACUUUCCCUCACACUAAGAAUCAAGUUCCAUUAUCCUACAUUGGUUAUGAAAGAGGUGAACCUUUCCCGUACACUAAUAACUAAAGCACCUUUCUCUCACACUAUCCCACAUCGGUUAUAGAGGGAGUGAGACUUUUCCACACACUAAUAACCAAGCUUUAUGGAAGGGGUGAGACUUUCCCUCAUACUAAUAACCAAGUUCAUGGAAGAGGUGAGACUUUCCCUCACACUAAUAACCAAGUUCCCUUAUCCCACAUCGUUAUGGAAGAGGUGAAUCUUUUUCUUACACUAAUAACCAAGCACAUUUCCCUCACACUAUCUCACAUCGGUUAUAGAAGGGUUGAGACUUUCCCAUAUUGAUUAUAGAAGGGAUGAAACUUUCCCUCAUACUAAUAGCCAAGUACCCUGCUUCUUUUUUUCACAACCGAUAUGAGAUAACGAUAUGAGAUAAAUUUAACAAUCUUCUUUUCACAAUCGAUAUGGGAUAAACUCAAUAAUCUUCCCCUCACAACUGAUAUGGGAUAACAAUACGAGAUAAAUUUAACAAUCUUUUCCUCACACAUUGGACAAUUUUUCAUCCAAGUAUCUACAGGAGAGUUGUCUUAACUAGGUUUCGAUACCAGUGUUGGGUGCUAUUAGACCUUCUCAACCCCAAAGCAGUUCAAAGGGUGAGCCAAACUUUGACACCACAGUUGGGUGUUAUUGGCCCUUCUCACCCUAAAAGCAGUUCAAAGAGUGAGGCUUUCCCUCACACUUAUAACCAAGGACCUGUGCUUUUCACAACUAAUUUGCGAUAAACUCAACAAUGCGUAACCAAUGGAAAGCAAGAUUUUCAGCUGGGGUUUAAAUGGACGUUUAUGGUCAUGGUAAUAGGGCACCAAUCAAUUGAUUAAUUCAAUAACUAAUGUUAAUGGGAUGCCAAUACGACAUUUAUUCUAGGGGCUAAAAAACCUUAAUUGAAUUAAGAGAAAGAAAUGUUAAGAUUCCAGCAGAGUGUGUAUGGUCUGGAUAAAGUCGGCCGUUCCAACUAUUCAGUAACGCUGGUCCCAUUUGUUGUUGUUGUUAUGGUUGAUUUUUCUUUUUAAAAAAAUGCAUGCUGGUCCCAUUUGUGAUGAACUGUAAUCAUUGUGUUCUUUCUUAAAAUUGAUAUUUGUGAAAAACUAUGGCAUGUAUUAUGAUUGUCAAUUCUCUGCUCUAUACAAUACUCUUAGAGAUAGCUGUCACCAAAUUUGAAAUAUAUAUAUAUAUAUAUGUGCGCGCAGACACACAUACGCAUACAUAGAAUUGUGUUGUCCUUGUUCUCGUCCUCGUCACGAUAAUCAGAAAGAGGUAGGAAAGUGUUUGGAUAAAGAGACUUGUAAAAAGAUCAAAAGAAGGGACAUAAAAAAACAAACAUGCGUUGAAAAAAAGAACAAAUGCCGGAAACUAACAACACCAAUACCUGAUAAUGUUGUUGAUGGUAGAUAAAUUCAUUGUACAUCAUGAAGGAUUCAGUUAACAUCUGAGAGGCGGUAACAAGAGACAAUUCGGUGAAUGGUUAAUUGGUGGCUCUACCGGAGGCCCUCAAUCCAAAAUAAUGUCUGUUUUUUCCAUGAACGCCUGGCCAGUAGACCUUCAAGCAAGAGGCUUAGGCGUUUCAAUUAAGAAAGGCAAGUUGGGAUUACUAAAGGUACAAGCCAAAUCACACACAUAAAUAAACAGAAGUAUAUAGUCAUAUGUAGGGUUGAUAUGCCAUCUACUCUCGCAUGCAAAACAAUUGAUGAUUGCAUGACGAUUUGACUAGACAAUUUGUUUACUAUGAAUUAUAUGUGAAUUCGAUGUGCAAUUGUUUGUUGUCAAAUGUAAAACAACAUAUCAGAACAGUAUCAAAUGGUUUCUAUUCUUUCGGAAUCAGAAGGCUGAGGCUUUGAGCACGAUUUAAUUAGCUUAAUUAGCAGCAAUGCUAGAAUGCAACCUGACCGCAUGCGUCCAAAUUAUGAGUUCACUAUAGGCAGACCUAACCAAGAUGAUUCUUUUAACAAUAUAAAAGAACUGCAAGUAGCUUUAAUUACUAUAGAUAGUAUUGCAAGAAUGUUGUAUUGACCCUUUCCAACGAUUGAUAAUUAACUAUGUACUUGCAUAAUUAUGUAUGUACAUAAUUAACAAUGUAGUAGCUUUUGACUAUAUACGUACAUAAUUGUAUCCAUGAAAAGCAAAUACCCAUCUACUGCCUUAAUAAGGAUGUCAAUAAGAAUUCUCCCAAGUACAUAAUUAACUAUCAGGCUGUGGGAUUGGUCACAACUCGUUUUAAACAAACUCGUGCAUCUUUGGUUCCCUCUACUUGGGAGAGAAUUCUUGUUGACAUCCUUAAGUAAUAAUGGCACUCCCUUCUAUCUUUUCGAUUAUGUCAAGUAGACAAAAAAUAUUUCUAUCCUUAAUUCCAUUUAGAACUAUUACUGUUUUAUCAAGUUGUGACUAAACCAGAAGUGAUGGUAUCUUUUAUGUUCAAAAGAAUAGAAAAAAUUAUGGCUUUUGUCAUAAACAAACAAACAAACAGACAAAUAUGGGAGUGUCAACUAAACUUCCCAGAAAGUGUACCAAACAUUUGCAAUUUAACAUGUGCUCAUCAUUCUUGAGCCGCCAUGGAUUAAGUGGAAAACAAGUCACUGGGCAGAAGUUGAAGUCGUUUUAGUUAAAUCCUUUUCAAGUCAGGAAUUUCAAUUUUUAACUCAUAAUAUAGUACCGUGUAAUUGACCGACCAGCACAAAUUUUCUUAGUCAACAUGGGAAUUAAGUCAAGUUGAAGCAAAUACAAGUCCGGAAUGAGUGGCUUCUGAAGAUGAGUUGAUGAUGAAGCCAGAAGAAGCAGCACAUAGUUUCUGUAUAAGUUAAUGGCUGCGUGACUUAUUCUGCCACUCACGACAUUUCUCCUUUGCAGAAGAGUUUUUUUUUUCCCACUUAUGUUCCUCAUUGAAUUGACCCUAAUAAUAAUAUAUUCCAGACAUAUUUCACUAUCCCAUUGUCCUCUUUCCCUUCCACCAAAAAGAAUCAAUUAUGUGUUAAUCGAAGCCCUCUAACUAUUUUGUUCUAAUAAAAAAUUUCACACAGGUACAAUCCACAAGUGGAAAUAUUUUUUGUUUAACCCGUUUAAAAUAUGUUUAGAACCAGAGACUUAGUCCACGAAUGGGAGUUUGUUUAAUGAGAUUCCUGUUUAGUUAGGAAUCCUCCAAGAAGCAAAUCGAAGAGGGAACUAAAGAAAAGGAAUUACUCCUAAAAUAUGGUACAUCCGCUAGCAUAUACCAUGAAAAAGUAGAUCGUCUGUGAGUAGUAUUUUGAUUUGUACAUCCAAGUGCAUGUAGUAGUGGAUAACUUUUGCAUUACUAGCAUAGAAUGAUAUUGCGAAGUAGUUACUCUUAACUUUUACAGUUUGAACAAGAGUGCUGUUGAAGGAUCCUUGACUAGGAAACCCUGAGUGGUACACUUGUCGCACGUUUUAUUGGGUACAAGUACAACAUAAGGUUUACGAAUACAUAUUUUUCCACAGCAAAACUAUCACAAAGAACAAGAAAGGAGUACAGAAACAGUAGAAUCACCCUAACAGGCACCGAACUAGUUCAAUACAAAUAUUGGAAACCAUACGAGGAUAAUUAAAUUAGGUCAAUAAUGCACCAUUUCUUGGAACAACCACAGCUGAGAGUGGCUUCUUCAUCUCACUUGACAGCUUCAAUACCUCAGUCAAAUCAACUGGCUGAGCUUCAUUGUUCUGAGCCAACAUGAAAUUCUGCACCAAUUUAGCCACCCAAAGGCUCACAGUCGCAAGUCCUAGGUUCUUCCCUGGACAAACCCUACGGCCUGCUCCAAAUGGUGCAAGCCUAAGGUCAUUUCCUCUCACGUCCAAAUUUACACCACCAGCCCAUGGUAUGAACCUCUCCGGCUUGAACAUCCAUGGCUCAUCCCACACCUGAGGGUCAUGUGUUAUAGCCCACAUGUUAACCAUGGCAACUGUGUUGGCUGGUAUGACCAUCCCAUUGCUCAGGUGGACAUCAUCCGUCGAUAAACGGGCCCACGACAUAAGGGGUCCUGGUGGAUGCAGCCUCAGAGUCUCUUUGAUCACAGCCUGAAGGUAGGGUAGCUUAGCCACGUCUGCAUCUGUGACACUUUUAUCUCCCAAAACAUUUUUCAGCUCAUUGUAAAGAUAGGUUUGGACUUGAGGGUGCAAAACUAAUUCUGCCAUGAUCCACUCAGUUAGAAGUGCAGUAGUGUCUGUGCCCCGAAAAAUCAUUUCCUGUAAAUCAUGUACAUCAACAGGCAGCUAAAUAGUCACUUGGCUAAGUGCCGAAGAAUAAAAUUUUGUUUCUUUUGUGUUGGUCACCAGCAAAAGAAUCGAAUUCUUGAAACCAUACCUUAGGAACCAAAAAUAAAUUACAUUUAGUCUAAUGCAAAUACUGCAACAACCCAACCUACCUAAUCAGUCCUAAAAAGGUUAAGUUUUAUUUUCUUUUAAGAAAGGUCAUUUUCAGCGUGCUCUGGUGCAAAAGUCCAGGUAUAUACUGUCGAAAUUCGUUAAGAGAUAGAAAGUUAUUUCCCAGGAAGACCUUCAUGAUCCCUUUAGAAAAUUGUUUGCCAGUUGGCAUUUAAUUGGCAUGAAAGAAAUAAUUUACAUUAUCAAACAGAAAAAAUGGCAUGCCAUCUAGUAGUGGUAAAGAGAAUUGAAAUGCAUUUACUAACCCAUAGAACAGCGACCAUAUCAUCUUCAUCAAGCUUUUCUUCACCUUCUAGAGAGAGCAAAACAUCGACAAAAUCAGAAUCAUCGGAGACCUCAGACGACUUCCCAACGCGAUGUUCUUCAAUAAUCUUUUUAACAAGUUUUCUAACCCGAAUGACAAGAGCUGAACAACGUUGUUGAAUGCGAAAAGGGUCAUAAAAAUUUUUCAACCAGGGCAAAUGAUCAGACCAAUUGAAUUCUCCCAAGAGCUCAAACCCUUCUCUGACCAUUUCAUGCAAUUCUUGAGCCUCUUCACUAAGUGAUGUCGUUUCAUACCUUUUACCAAACACAAUUUCCAUUAUAUUGUUUAAGGAAGCUACUUGUAGGUAUUUUCUAAGGCUUACAAACCCUUGCAUGGUUUGCUCCUUGGAAAUGGCCCUUAACAUAGCUGCGCAUUCUAGCUGACGUCCAGCUUCAUGGGCUAAUAUGCGCUUGGGUGCAAAGAGGUGAGAUGAGGCAAUUUUCCUCAAAAGCCUCCAGUAGGCUCCAUUGGGAGCGAAACCGAUGGCUCGGCUAAACAUGAGCUGCUUAGCCGACUGUUUUAUGGGACGGCUGGAGAAGUGGGGUGAGGUCAAGAUCUCACGAGCCGUUCGUGGUUCGGAAGCCACUACGACGGGAGUUGAUCCCAAGCUGAACGCCAUGAGUUGACUUGCACCAUGGCUUGAAGCCAUGCAUGCAAGAGUUCGGUGAGCCAAGCCGUGGCUCAAGUUGAAUAAGCUGCCUAUAAUUGGAAGGCCCCUGGGUCCGGGGAUUGGAACUUGGCCUAACUCGUUCCGGCCAGCUCUCCAUGCAGGCCCUCCAGAAGAGAAAGCCCAAGCAAUGAGCCCUGCAGCUAGGAAGAACAUGGCAGUAGAGAACAAAAUCCAAAUGUUGCAUAAGUUCUGGGAUUCAAGAAUUGCUGGGAGUGUAAAGAACACCCACCAAUUAUCCUCCGAGACUGAUGAAAAAUCCAUGUUUUUUGGUUGGUUUGAAUGAUGGAGUGGAAACGAAGAGAGUUUAAUAUGGAAUGGAAGAGGAUUUGUGGAAGGAAGAUUGCGAGGAUGAAGUGAAAGGAAUAAGGCGGCAGUGCUGCUUAAAUAGGAGGCAUGUCGUGUAGUGGGAAGCAAUUUGAAUGGUUAAAAUAUUAGUACCAUGGCUUUUAUUUUUGUUUUCAUUUUUUUUGGAAGAAAGGGUUUUUUUUUUUUGGGUGGGAGGAGGACUGAGGAGUGGUAUGGUGCUCAAAAUUGACUCAAAUGACGUCCAAGCACACAUUGGACGGACCAUUAAGCGAAUGGCUGUGUUUGAAGUAUUGUUUACUCGGCCUUCGUCUCACCUAAAUGAGUUUGUAUUUGACCUUCCCUCAUACUUUACAAAUACCUCUUCACUUACUGAUCACUUCUAUACUUGGCAGAAUACCCAGGAACAAGUUUUUAUGUUUUCUUAUUCUUAAUAUUUAAUCUUGAUCUUGUGCAAACCUAUGAUGCCAACAUCUUAUAGAAUACUGCAAUUUGGUAAAACUAAAGCACAAAGAAUUUGUCAAAUAAUGAUAGAAUUCAGGAAAAACUCAGUUGGAAACAGUCAGCUAAGCAGAGUCAAGAGCGAAAGGGAAAGAACAUUAGACAGUGAAAGAAAAGCACGCCCAAAAAAAAGGAUCACAUAGCUAUCAUGAGACAUAAAAACUAAAAAAUUAAUGCCUCAAAAGGAACUACAUGCCAAGUAUCUUCUUAAUCUUUUCCAUGGACGGAUCAUCUAAUUACCUGUGAAAACCUCUGUUAGAAAGAGUCUACGGAGCAGAGUCACUAGAAAAUGGGAAGAAGUAACACAGGCAGUGGAAAGAAAAGGAGUACAUUGGCGAUCAAAAAAUGUGAGACAAAAGUUUAUGCCUCAAAUGUAAUUAUUUGCAAAGUAGUAAUUUCUUAAUCAUUUCCUAGGAUGGAUCAACUAAAAUAUUCCGUUCUUGAAAACUGACAAUUUUCUUGGUAAGUUCACAUUUAGAUGUAUACAUUCAGCAUCCAAAACGAUUGGAUUACUGAGUAUUUAGAAUAGUGAAUAAUGUGUGCCGGCUCUUUCCUAGUGAAGUACACACCACAGACACAUCUCUUUCCUUGCUUACAUCGAUGAUCUGCCGUCAAGACACGAGCAUUAGCAUUUUCUUUCUAAGAUGUAUUUCUGAAAGAAUUUAUCUACUAUUAGUUUUCUAUUUCCAGUUGGCUAGCCUAGGAUAAGAUGGAAAAGCAUUCCAAUGGGAAGUCCAUUAUCACCCUCUCAAAAGCUAGCUAGCAUGGUGAGCUGUGUAAUGGUUGACGGCACUGUCAUUAACAAUUGCAUGGAACUCUCUCAAUCAACUAAUUGGUUGUAUUUAAUCGCGUUUGGUUUGCUUGAUUAGUUUGAUUUACCUUGUUAAUGAUGCUUUUUUGCUCUUAAUUACCACUACACUGUCCAUGGAGUUGGAGACUCGAAAAUCUUGAAGAGACGAUGAUAACACUUAAAAUUACUAUUUGGUUUUCAACAAAGUCACUGGACAUUAAUUUCAAUAUUGGCAAUCAUUUAGUCAUAUUUAUUUACAUAAAUAUCUUAACAUGCAUGAAAACUUUCUUUAAUAAUCUGGUCUAUCUCUCAUACACACACACAUGCACGCACGCACACAUUAAUUUAGGACCUCAAAGGGAAGAAAUUAAGCCAAACCCUUGAUGAAAAUAGAUACACAUCUUAUUGAUUUAAGAGGAUAGACCAUUAAUUUCAUUUUAAUAUUUUGAGAAGAAUUAUUCGCAUUAUUUCCAGCAUGAAGUGAGGGAAUAAUAUUCCGUGGCAAAUAAUUUCUUAGAAAAUCCCACCCUACUUUAAUAACUUAGAUCAACGUUUCAAAUACUGGGAUGUACGGACUAAAUUUGAUCAAAAACUGUACACAACUAAGUUUAAUGCGAGCAAAUGGCAUGAAUAAUGGAUAAUUAAUUAACAUAAAUAGAAAAUUUCUAAAAGAAUGAUAAUAAAAAUUGUAGAUAAUAGAGAGCUAGCUGUGAGUUAUAUCAUGACUUUCCGGUAGAGGAUGAAAUAUAGGAAUCUUUUCCACUAAUUGUGGAGCUAAUUUUUGUCUAUGGUCUUUGCGAACAAUAGAAAAUGAGUUUUCCUGUAGACAGACAGCUGUGGAAAAAGAAACAUAUAGUUAAAUAUACAUCUUUCUUGUCUAAAUGAAGCCAAACGAAGAAUGAGGUGCCUUUUCCUUAAAAUGAUGCUUAUUCACUGUCACACACGCACGCACACGCACAAGUACCUCUGCAUGCACAAAAUGGCAUAAAUAAACUGCCAAAUCCUAAUAUUAAUUCAAUUACUAUCCUUUUGCUCAGAGAAAUGCAGCCAAGCCAGUGUACAGUAAUUAAGAACUGAGGAAAUUUGUCGGUGUGUAUUUUCACAUUAAUCUACCUAUUGCGUGGCAAAUAAUUAAGGUAUUAACAUCCGAAGACUUUGCAGGCUGAAGAGACUCGAUUAAUUAGAGAUAUUUUGGUGCAACUAUGGAUAUCGAUAUGAACCCUAGGUAUGAUCAGGUCGGAUUACUGGUAAACACAGUACAGCUAAUUGCUAAUCACCAAGAAAGUUUAGGCACCGACCCCUUCGAACUUUGAAUGUCACAGUACCCGUUGUGUUUAACCAGCUUCCUUGUUUCCUUAAUUAAUUUGACCGGUUGAUGAUUGGAUAUAAACCUGUCUACUGUCUUGAAGAAGGCAGAUACAGCAAUUAAUUUUUGUUAUAGCCAUCACAGAAUAAAGAAGUAAUUAACUAAUGGGCGCACUGAAUAAGAAGUGGGUCUAGUCACUAGUGUUAUUUUUUCUGUGGAAAAAAAAUUCUAGUGAAAGUAUUGCAAUUCAGAGGGGCGGCGGGUGGUAGUUUUAAAGUAUCCAUAAUUAAUCCACUUUCUUUUUUUUAGUGUGCUUAUCAUAAUUGAGCCAUUUAAGGUGCAGUAUUCGGCUACUUCACCUAGUAGUGUAAUGCUUGUAUUGAAAUUUUUAAGAGAUGAAAUCUAAAAAGAAGUUUUUUAACAUGUGCUCAAUGGGCAUUCGUUAACAUAUUUGAAUUUCACCAAACUGAUCAUGUGUAUACACGUAUUAAUAAUUAUUACUUCCCAUUAUAUUUAUACAUACCUGAAGUAUAUCUUGAUAAUUGUCAAAUGGGUACCCGUUAGACAUAACCAUCUAAAAAUUAGUUACCUUUUAACGCCCUAUGAGGUAACGAUUAAAUUGAUGACCAAAUGCAAAAUAAAAUAGGAGGUUUCGAGGGUUUGGAUCGUCUCCUCCCAAGGAAAUCAAUUACAUCACCUAAUUUUGUUCACAGGAUACUUGUUCAGACAUUAUGACUAAAAUGUGUGUGUGUUUUUUGGUUAUCCUGCGUUGUAUAAUCUUUAAGUGAUCUACUGAUCUCUGUUGUGGUCUCGUAUAGUGGUGGCUAGAAACAAAUGGAGGCAGACUACUGAGCUGAACUAAAAAGAAAGCAAAGGUAUUUGCAGAUCUUUUGCAGGAACUUAAAAGUAGCAAGUUGAUUAGUCCAACGAAGAAUAGUAAUCCCCAGCAAUCUAGGCAGCACAACACUUUCCACCCCGUUAAUUACUCUCCUUUUACUAAUAAUUGUCCUCAUAAACAUUCAUCCGAAAGCACAGAAGAUCACACGAUCGAGCGUUUCAUCAAUCUCAACCACGCAAUCAGCACUUCACGCAAGCGCGCGCACACACAUUUACAAUUCCAAAGUUAGAUCCCUAACCUAAUACACAAAGUUUAUCGUCAAAAUCAAUGUGUGUGUGCGUGCGGUUUGGCGGGAAGCCAGGAGGGUGGGUGGGGUGAUUAAUUUGCAUAAUCCCAAUUAAACUCUCCAAAUCCAUAUGCCGAAUUCGUAUCUUGCUUACGAGGCUUCUCGUUGUUGAUGCAAGUGUUCGCCUGACCUCCAUUCAUUGUUGCAUUUUCACAAGGUUAAUAAUUUAGUAAUCUCGAAGAUUUGACACUAAUCAUGCUAGGUCACUGAUUUGCGCCGCCGUCCUAUUUUGUUCUGCGAGCCUACGCUAGGAGCUGCACCGGGCUAAUUGGUUAAACGAGUCUGAAAUUAUUAAGUACGAAAGUCAAAGAGAUUUUGAAAAAUUUUAUGCAACUAUAAUGUUGUUUAUUAUAGUUUUUGUUAAAUUUUGUGAAUGUUUGUUGUCUUGGGUGUCUUGCAUUUCCGGCUGCAACUGUUAAUCGUUGGUCGACCGUUGACAUGCAUGCCCAUGCACGCCCGUUUAGGUCGCUUAGUAAGAAGCAAGAAGCAAAAAAGGCGCCUUGACGUUCUAUAUCACAUUAUGUUUGGUCAUAUGCACGAGGGGGCAUUGUCAAAACGAGGCAACAACCAAAAAGAGCCUUGAUGUUUACUACUAAUACAAAGUGGAUCGGAGGUUCACAAGUUGAAUUCUGUUCAUUUCAAAGCGUUUCGUGUAAUUCUUAUUAUAUUGAGUAUAAAUUCGUACUAUUUUAUUAUAAUUAUCAUUUUAAUUAUACAAAUUGACACAUUUAAAUUUAUGCUUGACACUCAAAUGGUAUGAGUUUCUACUAAAAGUUGUAAGAAUCUCACAAAUUUAUUGAAUUCAACAGAACUCAACUUCUGAGACCUGAAUUGUACUCUCUCCGUCCCAUUUUGAUAGUCCUAGUUUUUUUCUCACACAGUUUAAGAAAAAGUAGUUAAUUUUGUUAGAAAAAUAAAUGCAAGUUGCUAUUUUUCUAAAAUACCCUUAUAUUAAACAGAGUACAACUUUAUAUUUAUGGUUUAUGGGAACUUGAAUUGAUGGUCAAGAAGAAUCAAUUCUCAUUCGUAUAUCAAUAUGUUUUGGAAAAUAUAAAUGUAUUAAAUGGGGUAGGUUAUAUUCAAUAACAAUCUAUAUUAAAUAAGGUAGUUUAUACUAAUAACAACCUACAUUGAAUAAGGGUAUUUUAGAGAAAUUUAAAAAUAAUUACAUUCUUCAACUGAACUACAAUUUAGGACAAAUGAAAACAGGACUAUCAAAGUGGGACGGAGGGAGUAGUAAGUUUAUUUAUGGUGUUUGACGCAAAUGGCAGAUAAGCAAUAGGUUGGGGCUUGGGAGAUACUCAAGGAAACUCGAUUUAUGGGUGCACUUGCAAAUUAUUGCAUAUGAUGUGGUCUAUACACGGUAAAAUAGUCAUUGUAAUUUAUGAUAAUGUAAAAGAAAAAUAUGAUAUGUCAUGUAUAUGAUAUAAAAAAAUUAUGUUAUUUUGAAAUAAUGAUCAACCAUCACAAUCAUAAAUCAGUCUCUACCCAAGUAUUAACCCUUGUGGUCUUGGAGAAGUUCAAUUUGGAUCUUGACAUUUGGUCAUGCGUGCAAGAGUGUCUAUGGUAAUGCAAGUAGUUGUGUUUGCAGUACAAUCAAAUUUACCAGUAUAUCAUAGUCACGAGUAUCCUGUCAAAUUGGUUAGCCGAACCAAUAUACAUAUAUAUAUACACACACACACACUACCAAAGGAAUUUUUUCUCAUCGUCAACUUUAUUCGAGCGCAAAACCAUGGUUGUAAUUGGUGGAAAGCAUGUUGCCUAGCCAAUCAAUUUCUUGCCAUGAUGGGGAAGAAGCUAUUCUUUAGUUCAUCUUUGAUCGUUGCAUGAAGCUCUAUCUUUGAUCGGCCUAUGGGUGUGUAGGAAUAAAAUUUUGUCUGAAUAUAUAGUAAUUUGCUUAUCAUCUGUUGAACAUGCAUGAAAAGAAUGACAAAUAUCUCUUACAAAUGGUUCCACAUCUUGCAACAAUUAAUAAAUUGCAUUAUCAUCAAAGCGUGGUUGCAGACUCUAUCUACCGAGUGAUCAGUUCUGAUAACGAAUGAUAAAAUCUUAUUAAAAUUCGUAACACAUUAAUACAGUCACCUAUUUUAUUUUCUCAUCAACUCUGUCCAAGAUUACUAGCAGUAGACAUAUGACAGGACAUCUCAUAUAGAAUUAGGUUUUAUCAUUUUUGAGAUUAUCUAUUACAGUUAAGAGGUCUUAUAAGAAGACCACAUUAUCAUAAAACAUUAAUUAAUUUGCCCUGUGCAACAGUUGGUGAGAGUCGAUCUUCACAUUCACUAUCUCCUCACUUAAAGAACUGAUUUGCGCAUGUAACUAGUUGCUUAAUUGCUUAUUAAUUUGUAGAUCUUUCUGUUCUUGUCGCCUCCAUAAUUAGGUAUGUUGGGAAUACAAAACAAUAACUGAUCAAAGAAGACAAUGAGUAAUCUUCAAGAAAGAGUACGAUGCUAACUUGUAUAGAAGAUGUUAGAAGCAAAUUCUCAACCAAAAAAAAAAAAAAGAUUACAAGUAUUUCUAUGCGUUGAAGAUUUACAAUAUUACCUUUUGUUUAAAUAUACAAAGAGUACUGUAUAAUAGGAAUUCUUCCGAUAAUUUUGCUGUUGCAAGGUAUUUUAUUUCAUAUCUUAUUAAACAUUUUAUGUUUUAUUUGGUAGAAUUCUCGUGUUUCUGUCUUACAUCAAUGUACUUAGACCAUUAUUUACAAUUUGAACUAAAAUGGCUAGCCGGCCACAAACUAAAAAUUUUAGCUUCAUUCCCAUCAAUGAUUAAGCAUAAUUAAAUACUUUCUCAUGUAAGACAUAAUUUUUCUUGCCUUGCAGCAAUUUCUGUAGGUACUUAAUUUUCUGAAUGCCGUCAUCCUUCCCGUCUACUCUUGCUUUCUUCUUCAAGUAUGGUCUCUUUGUUUUCCACCACCAAAAGCACCAAACUUCUUUUACGAAAACCGACAAAUUGCUAGUGCCAUAUGAAAGAAUUCUUUUGCAUGACUUCUUUUUAUAUAUUGGAACAACAGAAUUUCUUGAUGGAGAACGUAAAAAAAUCAGCAAAAAGAAUUGGCUGAAGAAACUUUGGAGCAGAUUGCCCCAGUGCAAUUUGCGAAGUGACAAGUCUAGCAUGUCUUGCAAAAGCAUGCGCUACAUUAUUACAUAUGAAAGAAUUUCGUACGAAUUAAUCUACCUUUAGGGUCUGUUUGGUUGGAAGUAAAAUGUUUUCCUUGGAAAAAUAUUUUUCGUGGAAGUAAUUUUCCAUAAAAAUCAUUUCCCUUCCAUCAUUUUCAGGUGUUUGAUUAGCUUAUUGAAAAUAUUUUCUUACUUCAUUUUUCUGGUGUUUGUUUAACUUUUGAAAUAUUUUCACUUUUAUCUCUAUCUUUACUUUCUACACAUUAUAACUACAUACUUCUUCCCAUGCAAAAUAAGAAAAUUUAUCUCAUUGUUUAACUUUAAAAAAUCUUGGAGAAAUGUAUAUAUGAAUAAAAAAUAUCUCCUUAAGCAAUAAACAAAUUGCUGGCCAUUUAGUGUCAAAUAUCAAUCACAUGCAAUGCUUAUUAUGACAUAUAUCUUGCACUCUCACUGCUGAAAGUUUCUCUAGAAAAGAAUGUCCCUAUUAUACAUAAUUAAUUAUUAGCAUAGGAUGAGCAGGAUGAGAUUUUUUUUUUAUUUUGAAUAUACUAGGGGGACGGUUGGGUUGGGUUGGGUUGGGUUGGGUGGCACGGGGGAGGGAGUGUAAGGAAGAGCUCUUGGGUUCGAGUCCUCCUGUUUACACUAAAAAAAAAAAAGAACAUACUACAAGAUGUUUUCAGUAAGUUUGGAACAUACUACAGGAGGGAUGCAUGCAUUUCGGAAAACAACUUCAAUAAGUUUAGAAGGGAAGUUGUUUUCCAUAAGAUGAGUGAAAAUAUUUUACAUAGGAAAAUGUUUUUAGUAACUUUUGUGCAACCAAACACGGGAAAUUAGGAAAAUAUUUUCCUGGAAAACAUUUUCACCCGAAACAAACGGACCCUUAAUGUGAAAUACCUGCGGUCGAGAAUUGAGGAAAUCACUAGUAUAUAUCUACUUUUUUUUCUUCUUUUCUUUUCUUGUUUUUCAUAAGAAGAUCAACUGCGAUUCUUUAUUUACUUCUCGAUGACUCGAAUUCAUGACCUAUUGUGAAGCGUCUUACCAUAUAGGUUGCAUUUCAUUGUACGUCCACUAGUUAUCUAUUGAUCAGAAAUUAGAGAGGGGUGAUUUAAAUAAAAAAAAAAAUGGCCAAACGUAAGAACUCUAACUUUUGAAUUUUAUUAAAACACCGACUGAAACUACUAGAUGGAGGGGACACAGGCCUUACACUCGAACAAAUCAAGGACCAUAUAAAAUGAUUCACUAGAUUAAUAUUACAGCUUACAAUUAAUGGGAUUGCUUAUAAAAUAAUGACCAGUAUUUAUCCAGCCCAUUGGACUCCUAAAAUUAGUAAUGGGCUACUUGGAAAAUUGGAUUGUUUUAAGUUUGGUCUGAAUUGAUUUGCAAAAAUUGCAUUAGACAAAAAAGUAUCUUACACUCAAAAGUUUUUAAAAAAUCAAAGAAAUUAUUAUUAUCAUUUAUCAAAAAUACUAAUAAUAAGGAAAAACAUUUUAACGAAUCAUAAUCAAACUUGAAAGUGGAUAUAACGGAUAGCAAUUUACCAUAACACAAAGGCAGAUAAAGAUUGCACAGAACAUUUCAAUUGAGGCCAUGUAUGGUGUACGGGCAGAUGCUUGAACAAACACCAUGAGCCGCAAUUCCGCAAAUUUGAAACCAUAUUUGUCGCUUCAAAUGGUAAUCAGUUCCGGCCUUUUCAAGUUGGUCUUGACCCCGCUUCACCGGGCUUGAACAAUGAAGCUCUCGUGCUCAAAUUCGAGUUCGUACUUAAUCUAGUUCGAAUAAAAUGAAAGCUAAUUAUAUAUUUUUUUUCAAAUGAAUAAAAUAGGUAUUUUACUGUAAUAAAUAUAAAAGCACAAGGGACUUGCAUUGUAACUUCACAACGAAUAAAAAUUUAUAAAAAAUAUAUAUAUUAGAUUGAUCCGGUUUGACGAAUCAAUGAAUCGAAUAUUGAUAUUCAGUCUCAAUUUGGCAAGUCGAAUCGAGUUUUGACCGAUCAGUUUGCAAGCGAUCGCAAUGCAGCACUAAGUACGGUAUAAAAUUUCAUCUAGAUUGUUUGUUGCAUCAGAUUUCUUACUUGAAGUAUUGAAUUGAAUAACUUUUCACACAAAUUCAAUUCUAAGUAACCUAAAUUACUCGUACACAAUACAUGUGCUAAUAUGCCUACGAAAGUUCAUGACAUUUUUAUCCGUUAAAACCAUACAUGCCAAGCGCACAUGCACAAUCUUGACAUAGAAAAUGUAAGAUAGAUAUUUAUUUCAUCGAAUCCAAUGGUUCAAGACAGGAAUUGCUGCAAAAACAGUUCAUGGCGACCAAUCUAACACAAGGGAAAUGUUCAAGGUGACAAAUUGCAGUUUCUCAAUCAGAUAUGAAGCACGGAUUGACAAUCUUGACAACUAAAACACAACUUCAAUAGGCUCAAACCCCUUGUCAAUAGAAGCCUUAACUGCAUCAAUAACAGCCUGUGUCUUUCUACUGAUGUUUGGCCAUUUCUUCUCAGGCUUUGAACCAUGUAAUUUUAUACCACCAACCAAAGAAGAGAACUCCUUCACCAUCAGGGCUUCCUGAGGAAGAUCCGUUCCCACAAUAUGCUCAUUAGGAGAAGGAUCACACCCUAUAGCGAGCUCAACAAACUUGGAAUUUGAAGUCACAUAAAAUGGUGCAGCACUUUCUUGGUAUGGAAUGACAAAAUCAUGAACCCGAAGAUUUCCAUUUGUUCCAAGAACUGUGAUGUCCAUUGUCAAGUUGGUGAUGAAAGAACAAUAGAAAGUUGCAACUUUUCCAUCUUCCCAGCGCAAGGAUGCACCACAGGACAAGAUCACGCCUGCUUCAUUGAAUUCAGGAUCAGGCAAAGCUGUUACAGUUUUAGGGAGUUCGUAUUCUGCAGCCCACAGAAUUGCCCUAGUGCAAUACCAGCCAGUGUCACCCAAAGCACCAAGUGCAUCAAGAUCAGGUUUUACUCUGAUAUCAUUCUUGAGAAAUUCAGGGCCCUCAACGUAUGAGAAAAUGCUGUGGACCUGUUGAAAUUAUGAGAACACUAACAUCUAUAUAUUAAAAAAAAAAAAAAAAAAAGGUAGUCCAAUGGGCACUCCAAUAGUCUUACAAAACAAAAAAGGAACAUUAGCAUCUGAAAAAAGGUUGUCCAAUAGUCUAAUUUAAGCUUUUAAUUAGGCAACCACCGUAUAUUGUCAAUUCCACUAUUGGUCGCAUUGUUGCUUUUGAAUUCCCAUUAUUGGUCCUUUUGUUGCUUUUCACCCAAUGUGGUACGUAUUCAUUGAGUGAACCUAUGCAUCAAGAACAAGGACUAUUUUAUAUCAGUACCAAAAAAGUCAUGGCUUAAAAACUCCAAUUCUUGUAGUUACAUCAACAAUUAGGCAAUAAUUCAUUCGUGAACUCUUGUAUAACAUGUAUACGUCUUUAAAAGAUCACAUCCAGCUUGAUUAAAUUUGGAUUGGAAGGACUAAAUAAUCAAAGAAGAAAAAAAAAACAUGUAAAUGGUAUCAAUGAUCCACUUUUUGGUUCAAAUUAAAACUACAAAUUCAAUACAACAAGCGAGAAAAAAUUUGGCUGCUGUUCAUGCCCCAGUCUAAUUUUAUUUCCCAUGGUAAUUUUUUGCACAAAAUUGCCUAACUUGCCCUUCACAAAUCCAGUGCAGUUUACAUUAAAAGAUUUUUUUUGGUUAUUUUAACAAAAGUUUAUGCAAAAAUAAAGUGCGGGCUAUGGCAAUAUCAUGAUAGAAAGAACAAAAUUAAACACGCAAAAAGGAAAGAAAAAAUUCAAAAAGAGGAGGAAAAAAUUUUAAAAAAAAAAUUACCGCCUUGAGCUGACCGAAUUUUUGAGGAUCAGAGAGAAAUUCCCUCAUCUGAGUGGUGCGUGGAUGGUGCAUCCACAUGGUAGCAUCCAUGAACUGCACCCCACUCGAUUCACAGGCCUCAAGAAUUAUAUCCAGCUCCUUCACGUUCAGCGCCACCGGCUUAUCCAAAAGCACGUGUUUCUUCUUUUGAGCCGCCAAAACAGCCCAGCGCAAGUGUAAGCUCGUAGGCAGCGGAAUAUAGACCGCUUCCACGUCCGGAUCGUCCAACACACCGUCGUAGCUUCCAUACACCUUGGCGGAAGCCGGGAAGCCGUUCUCUCUUGCGAAGCUUAUGGCUUUCUCCAGUGAACGGCUCCCAAUAGCUACAAUAGUUGAGUUUGGAGCCAGAGUUAUGGCUCGAGAUAGUUUUCUUGCUAUCUUUGCACAGCCUAAGAUUCCAAAACGAACCGGCGGCUCGGCCAUUUUUUCCGAAUCUGUGCUUCUUUUUUUUCCCCCCUUUUUAAUAGCUGUAGGCUGUGUGAAUUUAGAUUACUCUCAGGCUCAGCCAGCAUCCAUUGAAGCUUUAUAUAGUUGUCGUAGUUUUGCUACAAGUAGAGGGCUUCAAGUCAUCGGUCGCAGGUCUAGCCGUGGCAAUUCAGUCACUUCACUAAGACUCUUCUACGUGGAAAAUGUUGCAUUGAUUGGCUCACUAUGUAAUUAAUGUACUAGUAUUUUUUUUUUUUGUUUUUUGUGACAUUAUAUGGCAGGAGUAGGAGUUGUUUUGCUAAAAAUAGUGCAUUUGUUUCAUCCAAUGAUAGUUCAAUAUCCAUCGAUUCGUUCAAUGAUGGUUCAGACCUUGUUUGAAAAAAAAAGUUUCAUCAAAAAAAUGUCUACAUCUUUUGUAAACAUAUUUUUCAAUCACAUAAAUAUGGGAGAAGGGACCAACCGACCAAGUUCAAGUGGACCAACAGGGACUUCACCAGAAGAGGGGAAAGAUCUGACUGAAACUUAUAACAAACUAGAUUUGAGGAUAACCAUUUCAUUAAUUGGCAUGGUUUGGUUCUUUUCAAAAUUUGGGAUCAUCUUCCUCUUUUGAUUCUAUGGGUAACUAGAGAGAAAACAAGACCUGAGAGCCAUCCAAGUUUGUGAAAGAUCUCCUCGCCUACAGUGAGAAAAAUUAGGGAAAAAGAGAGGUGAGAAUAAAUCCCAAGAUUAGUGCUUCUUGGAUCACAAGCCUGAAUUGUUUUUCGUGUCUGCAAACUUUUUUCAAGAGAGGCAAAGGGUUUUUCUCGACAAUUAAACAUUCCUAAACAAAAUGUUAGCAGCCAAGAAGUAUUAGUAAAAACGAAGCUUAUUAAACAUAUGUUAACCAUUCCUAAACAAAUAACUACGUUGUUCCGCUGCUUAAUUUAACUCUUUUCUCUUUCAGCAACUCAACUGUGUCGUCGCAGUAAUUUUAGUUUUGACUAUAGUGUUAUUACAUUUCAUCUUGUAAACUAUUUGUCUGAAUCAAAAUAGAUCUUGUUGUAGAACCACAAUAAUAAUACUGGUUCUUAUUUUCGAAUUGGGAUUGCCUCGUAAUUGUCCUGAUACGUAAAAAUCUGGUUCUCUAAACAUCAUAGGAGGUGAACGCAAUUGCAAUUUGCAACUAGGAAUGUCAAUUGAACUUUCUGAGUUAAGUUUGAUAAGUCUCAGCUCGGCUGAUAAAUUAUACCGGUUUUCAGGUUUCAAGUUUUGGUUAUUUGAGUUGAAAUUAAAAAGUUCAAACUUAGUUCACACUAUAAUAUGAGUCUCGAGUUCAAAUCGGAUUUGAGCUAAACUCAUAUUUAAAUGCAUAUUUAUUAAUUAUAUAUAAUAUAUAUUUUAUAAUUAUGAAUUACUAUAAAUUUAUAUAUAAAUUAUUAACAUUAUAUGUUAUAAUAUGUAUAAUUAUAAAUUAUGGAUAUUAUAAAUACUAUAUAUAUAUAUAAUUAUACUCAUAUAUGGGCGGGUCUUAAUUGAAUCUGAGUCUAGUAUAACCCAACUUCGAUUCACAUUUAGUUUAUGGCUAAUAUUUAAGUUCAAACUAUGUUCGAUCCAACUAAAAUUUGUGCUUAGAAAACUUUUUUUGAGGUCAAAUGGGUUGGAUUUGGGUUAGCCCGACCCCAUUUUCAGUGUAUUCGCAAAGUUCUAUUUACACGUCAUUGGGAAUAUUACCUCCUAUUUCCAAAGGGAAUAUUACCCCCUAUUAAUGUGAAUUAUCGAUAAGGACAUCAUUAUUAUCAUGCUAGAUGAGAAUUAUGAUUCUUGAGAUGGAAUCCAGCAUGAGGUAAAUUAAUAGGAGUUUUGUGACGGCUCCGCUUCUCGCAAGGGCGAACCAGAGGGUUCAGCGGGCCGCAUGCCCGACUCUCGCCGGGACUCAGUCGUUCACUACAUUCCUCAAACAUAUUACAAGAUAAAACUUCAAAUAUUACAUCAAAUUCUCCAAUAAAUAAUUACAUAUCAAAAGCGAAGUGUCCAUGCUUCCACUGCGCCACUCUGAUCCUUGAUACCAACCAUUCACACGGAGAACUUUAAUACAAACGUUUCCUUCGCCACGAGCCCUGUGGAGGGGAAUAAAAUAUUUUUGGGGUGAGCUAGAAGCUCAGCGAGUAACCAGUAAAAUCAUUAAAUAAAUAUAUUUCACAAUGUUGCAUUUCGAUCAUUUCGAUGAUGUCAUGAUUCAGAGAUCAAAUGUUCGUUUAGUGCUCUCGUGAGCCAGGGAAAUCAUAGCACUUGAACACCCAACGCUCAAAUAGAUCAUUUAACAUUAACAUUAACAUUAGGAGGGAGCCCCUUUUUGAGCUCCGGAGCCAUUUGCUCCACCAUGUCACGAACUCACGAAAAUGGUGGAGACGUUGGUGUCCAGCACAAGACUCCCCAAGAACUCAUUAAAGCCAAAUCAUGUCAUGAAUCCACAUGCAAGCACGCAUGAGAUGCAAUCGAGUACAUAAUGCAAGAAAAAUUUCACAAGUACUUUGGAAAUAGUUUAGGGUCACUCACCUCCAUGGCUCAGGAACCAUCCAUCAUAUAACAUUGCCUUACUCAAAUCCAAGUCUUAGAUCACAAACUCAAUGCAAACAAAUCCCUUCAAAGUUCGGACAGCACUUCCCCUGAAUUUGCUAACUUUUCCAGCCAUCAUGGCUUCAUUAUUUCCUCAUCCAGUCCCAAAGGUACACACACAACAACAAGUUCAUCCAAUAGCCAUUCAGCAAGCUCCAAGUAGUACUAGUACAAGUCAAGCUAGGGAAAAGUCCGGAAAUGAAAGUUAAGCUCAAAAUCAGAAAAAUAGCUUUUGACAUCCUUUUGCGGUAAUGGCACCAAAGGUACUACGACUGUCGGAUGAAGGUGAAAGAUACACCGUUUCGAAGCUAAGAGAUAGGGCUACAAUAUUGCAGAAGGUCACUCAACCCAGUUUCGAGUGUAACCAGGUAAAAAAUGCAAGAUACUAUACCAGAAUCACAAAAACAGAUUCACAAAACGCAUUCUAGCGAAACAUCAUAAAGCAGGCUAUUCAAAUCCAAAUCCAGAAAUUCCAAAACCAGAUGAAAGAUAAGAACAGGGGUAAUUUCAUCAGAAGACCUCAACCAAUUCGGAAGGAAUUCCAGCCAAAACAACCAAUUAUAGGGGCAAUUCUUACAUUCGGGUAAAACCAGAACAGCAAUAGUAAUUUCGACUUUUCUCAUUCUACACUACUCCGAUUGACCUGAAAUUUUUCAGGCACCUCUAAAAAUAUCAUUCCCUACAACUUUCAUGUUUUAAGCCAAGGCCAAUUCGGCCUCUAACUAGGAGCUACAAAUUCGGGCAGAAUGAAGAACAUCAAACCCUAAUUUUUUCCAAUUUUCUUCCAAAACAGAAAUUGUUGCAAUUAACAACUUUUUCCACCUCAUAGAGUCCUUAAAUAUCAUUUCCAAUCAUCAUAUAUAACCACACAAUCAUAUCCAUAUGAAAACAGAAAAAUCCCCAAUAAUUAUAAAACUUCACCAAUUCAACCAAAACCAAGAUAUAAUCCAUAAAAGUGCAUCUUAUACCACCACCAAUCAUGAAUUGAACAUCAUUAGAGGAAGGAGAGGGGUCAUUCACAACUCACCUUAGCAAUACAAGAGAUAGAGCAACUAGUCACCUUAGCUUUCCAAACAACUCCACAAAACACCUCAAGACCACUUAGCAAAGAGAUUUUAUGGAAUGAUUUGGAGUUUUAUUGAUUGGAUUUGAAGAUUGAGCAAGAAAUAGAAGGAAGAAAUUGAGAGCUUUUCUUUCUUUCUUGAGCAAGAACAUUCGGCCAAGAAGCUUGCAAAAUGAAGCUUAUUUUGAUCAAAUUUUUUGUAUUUAUUUGGUAAAGGUAAAGGUAAAGUCAAAUGGUCAAAGUCCAAGAUUAAAUCACAAGGUGACACUUGUCACCUUUUUGGUUUAAAACUUAUCUUUUUGUCUCUCCAAUACAAAUAUCUUAACACUUUGUAAAAUAAUAUCACUUAAUACAAAAUUCCAACAAGUUGUCAAAAAUAUAAUGCAUUUACCGCACUUGCGGGUCCCACGUCCAAAAUACGCUUUUAAUUUCUCAAAAACUAACUGAUACUAGAAAAAUCAUUUUUAAACUAUCUUUGCUCAUAAACUUUAUCUGGGGAAUUUUUCUAAUAAAGAAAAUGUAGAAAAGGCGGGCGAUUAAAUAAAAUAAACCCUAGAAAAUUAGAAAAUUUUCGAGUUCUCACACUCAUACUUUUCGGGGCGUCACAAGUUUAGACUCUAGAGGCUUCUGUUGUUGCCAGUUGCAAUCGCACCCAGUAAUUUUUUACACUUUUCUGUAAAACCAAACAAUUUUUAACAGAUAAUCUACAUCAACUUUUGGAAUUGCCAAAACUAACCUUUGCUGUACUCGUGAUUUUUUAUAUGUUUACAAAAGCAAAUAUUUCGACACCAAUGAAGCUAGCUAAAGCAACUUUUUGAAAGCAUUUUACAAUCUAGCCUAUUGCUUCUUUUUUUUUUUUUCAAUCGUCAUCCUUACUCCUAUUCCUACUCUAUCCUAAUCUAAUUACGGGGAGAUCCAACUGGGUCUAUGGGAGACCGAUGGAGACAGAACCACCACCGAAUCAGACAGGUGCACCACGCAUCCGUUUGAAUUUUUUGAAGAACCACAAAUGUGGCAAAUCAAACCUUACCUCCCACCCCAGCAAAACUUUUAAGGUGGUGGCCAUCAGCCUAAGGCUGAUGGUUCUAGCCUAUUGCUAUUUGGAUCGGAGUUUUUGAGAGUUUUUUUAUACCCAAAAAAAAAAUGUACUAUAACUAGUAAAAAAGAUAAGUGAAGAAUAUAUGAAGAGAAUUUUUUUAAAAAAAUUUCGUGCAAAACUCGGCAAUCCAAACGGGAGCCUCUAAAACUUCCAGUACAAGUGGAGAGAAUUGAACUGAUUGUCAUGACUCAUGUGAUGGUGACAACAUCUGGAUGGAUGAUUUUCGCAAAGCUGGCCGGAAGCAGAGGUCAAAUGUGUCCGUUCCGUGCAGGCAGUAGCCACCAUUAUUAUUAAUUAAUUAAUCUUACAAAAGCCGGGGGGAGUAGUUGCGGGUCAAUUCUCUCGUCCACUUCCAGUCUUUCUCCGGUAUCCGGAGUCUGGCUAGAAUACGACUCUUUGUUCUAUCUAUAGCGUUCGUACUUUCUUAACGGUUGUGCAUAAUCUCUACGAAGAGUUCAGUGAAGACCAAUCAGUGUACAAUAAUUGUCCGUCAAAAACAGGAAAGGUUGGUCAAAAUAUACAUCGAUAAUCCAUACAUUCAUUAUACUUAGCUUAAUUACAGCUAGAUUCUUUUUUUUUUUUUUUUGCUAGAUUCAUAAACGAAUCAAAAACUUGACAAACAGUUUGGACUCAAUUUGAGUUUGACUUUUAAUAAGUUUGAAUUCGAAUCGAAUUCGAACUUUUAAAUAUUCUACUCGUAAAACUUGAAUAAUAUUUUAUAUUUUUUAGUAUUUAACAUAUUAUUAAUAUUUUAUAGAAAAUCACACAUUUAUUAGUCGGAUAAAUCUUGCAUACAUUGGCUAUGUAUAUACUAAGGCUUUUGUUUGGAUUGCAUUUUUGUAGAAAAAUUAUUGUAACGAUUUGAUAUAUGUGAGGUAAAAAGAUAAUUGAAAAAUAUGUCUACGAAAAACUUAGCAAUUUUUCAAGAAAAAUUGCAAUCCAAACACACCCAUUAUGUAAAUUAAUGUUCAAGAAUGAUUAAUCCAAACACACCCUUAUGUAAAAUUUCAAGAAAACUUGUCUUGAUACAUGCUACAUAUGUAAAAUUUAAUGUUCAAAUUUAAACUGAAAUGAUUUGGCAUGCAUCUAGACAUAUGUGCUAACGGUAUAAGAAAAAUUAAUCGUUAUUAUUUUAGUAUGUACAUAUUAUAUAUAUUAUUGAUAAUAUAAUAUUAUAAAUUAAAAAAGUUAAAUAAAAAUUCGAACUCUUGAAUCAAACUUGAGCCAUUAGAUCAUUUAAUUGAAUCGAACUUAAGCUUGAAACUUAAACUCGUAUAGGGCUUGAGCUUAAAUUCAAGUUUGGGCCCAAAAAGUAGAACCGAGCAUGACAGUUUAAAAGUUCGAGGUUUACUGCCCUAAUUACAGCAUAGUUAUGACUUAUGAGAUGAUAAAAGGGCGUGCUUGGUAGUUCAGUACUAGAGGAAUGUACAUCCAUGGCAAUGAGCCAAUAAACCAUACAGGAUCUGGAAGUCACUUUCUUCACCAGAAUCACCAGCCUUUCGAAUAUAAUUCUGGGGCUUGCACCAAUAUUGUUUUGGAAGUACAUACCUGCAAAUGAUAUCAUUCUGUCCAACAAAAUCCAGCAAGAUACCAACACGUUGUAAGUUCCCGCUUCGUGAAGAAACAAAUUUGACGCUGUUAAUAAAUCAAAGCUCGAAAUGAAAUCCAAUGGCAAACAAAGAAGAAUCUUCUUUACAAGGAGCAAUCAACAUCUUAUUCAAGAUAAAUGCCCAAUGGGCAACGCAAUACAGUGCAAUCAGCUAAUAACUUCAACAGAUUCAAAGCCCCUGUCAAUCGAUGUCUUGACUGCAUCCAAAACUAGUUGAGUCUUCCUGCUGAAGGUUGGC
rnacentral:lncRNA from 1 species